AUGUUCCUGGAGCCACGGCGCCCGCUCGUCCUCUGCUUCGGGCGACAGGGACAUGCGCCUUCUCCUGCCGCGUUGACCUCCGCAUUUGGCCACGCCGCCCGCCUGCUCCUUCAAGUCCGUCGAGGCCGGUCCUCCCUGCUGCCCUCUCGCCCGGAUCCAGCCGCGCCAUGGACUCCUACUUUGCGCCGCCGCCAGCACAAACUGCUCGAGCCCCGCGCGACCGUGCGCGUUGACCGCGCUCCUCCUCGUCGUGCAACUGGCCAGCCUCCCACGCGCUCGUGGGCCGCGCCACGGCCCAGCCACCCGCUGCGAGAUCCCCCUGCCGGUCUCCCUCUACGCCAACCUGGGCCUCAGCCCGUGCUUCGGUUUCGUUCCGGAGUUGUGAGGGUUCGUUCGACUACAUUCGUUUGUCUUCUUCAUGGACUCGUUCUUCUUCCUAGCGGGAUCUCAGGCAAGAUGACCACCCCUCGAAAUCACUUCUAUCUUUGCUUUGCUAGUUGCUCGUUCUAUUGCCAUGCUGCGCUACCUACCACUUGCUAUAUCAUGCCUCCCAUACUGCCAUGUCAGCCCUUAACCUUUUCACCCUUCCUAGCAAACCGUUGUUUGGCUAUGUUACCGCUUUGCUCAGCCCCUUCUUAUAGCGUUGCUAGUUGCAGGUGA
rnacentral:rRNA from 1 species